rnacentral:rRNA from 1 species
AACGAACGCUGGCGGCAUGCCAACACAUGCAAGUCGAACGAGAUCUUCGGAUCUAGUGGCGCACGGGUGCGUAACGCGUGGGAAUCUGCCCUUUGGUUCGGAAUAACAGUUGGAAACGACUGCUAAUACCGGAUGAUGACGUAAGUCCAAAGAUUUAUCGCCAGAGGAUGAGCCCGCGUAGGAUUAGCUAGUUGGUGUGGUAAGAGCGCACCAAGGCGACGAUCCUUAGCUGGUCUGAGAGGAUGAUCAGCCACACUGGGACUGAGACACGGCCCAGACUCCUACGGGAGGCAGCAGUGGGGAAUAUUGGACAAUGGGCGAAAGCCUGAUCCAGCAAUGCCGCGUGAGUGAUGAAGGCCUUAGGGUUGUAAAGCUCUUUUACCCGGGAUGAUAAUGACAGUACCGGGAGAAUAAGCUCCGGCUAACCCCGUGCCAGCAGCCGCGGUAAUACGGAGGGAGCUAGCGUUGUUCGGAAUUACUGGGCGUAAAGCGCACGUAGGCGGCUUUGUAAGUUAGAGGUGAAAGCCUGGAGCUCAACUCCAGAAUUGCCUUUAAGACUGCAUCGCUUGAAUCCAGGAGAGGUGAGUGGAAUUCCGAGUGUAGAGGUGAAAUUCGUAGAUAUUGAGAACACCAGUGGCGAAGGCGGCUCACUGGACUGGUAUGACGCUGAGGUGCGAAAGCGGGGCAGCAAACAGGAUUAGAUACCCUGGUA